GGAACAGUAGCCAAGCGGUAAGGCACUGGACUUUGACUCCAGCAUCGUAGGUUCGAUCCCUGCCUCUUCUGCCA
rnacentral:tRNA from 1 species